rnacentral:rRNA from 1 species
UGGGGAAUAUUGGACAAUGGGCGCAAGCCUGAUCCAGCCAUGCCGCGUGAGUGAUGAAGGCCCUAGGGUUGUAAAGCUCUUUCAACGGUGAAGAUAAUGACGGUAACCGGAGAAGAAGCCCCGGCUAACUUCGUGCAAGCAGCCGCGGUAAUACGAAGGGGGCUAGCGUUGUUCGGAAUUACUGGGCGUAAAGCGCACGUAGGCGGACAUUUAAGUCAGGGGUGAAAUCCCGGGGCUCAACCCCGGAACUGCCUUUGAUACUGGGUGUCUGGAGGAUGGAAGAGGUAAGUGGAAUUCCAAGUGUAGAGGUGAAAUACGUAGAUAUUCGGAGGAACACCAGUGGCGAAGGCGGCUUACUGGUCCAUUACUGACGCUGA